AAUGUCAUUCAAUUCAAUCAUUCAGUGGUCUGUGCAUUCAAUGAUUGCGGGAGAAGAAGAGUAGACAUCAUUUAAAAUUGUAAUUUCAUAGAAAUUAAACUAAUAUUCUUUGUUAGUUUUCUUAGAUGUAGUGUGGAUUUGUAACUGAAAAUGUUACUACCGUUGCUGCUAGUGUGUGCUGUUGGGUCAUCAUCCGCCAUACCUCUCGCUGAUGAAAUAUAUCCCAGGAAAGAGGAAACCUGUGGCUAUGAGAGUUGCACACAAGCAGAUCCGAAUAUGUUGAAUGUGCACAUAGUGCCUCACACACACGACGAUGUUGGCUGGCUCAAGACUGUGGACCAGUAUUACUACGGCAGUCGGAACAACAUUCAAAAAGCUGGGGUCCAGUACAUUUUGGAUUCAGUCAUCAAAGAACUAUGGCAGGACCCAAAAAGAAGGUUCAUCUACGUCGAAACAGCUUUCUUCUGGAAAUGGUGGGUGCAUCAGAACGACGACGUACGUCACAAAGUGCACACAUUAGUGCGACAAGGACGGCUACAGUUUGUGGGCGGGGCUUGGAGCAUGAACGAUGAGGCCGCUUCACACUACCAGAGCACUAUUGAUCAGUUUACUUGGGGCCUGAGAAAGCUCAACGAGACAUUCGGUCCCUGUGGGAUGCCACGCGUGGGAUGGCAAAUAGACCCGUUCGGUCACUCGCGCGAAUUCGCCUCUCUGCUCGCGGCUAUGGGCUAUGACGGCCUGUUCCUGGGCCGGAUAGACUAUCAGGACAAAGGGGCUAGACUCCUUCAGAAGAGGAUGGAGAUGGUUUGGAGAGGGGAUGAUGAUUUGGGGAACUCAUCAGACUUAUUCACGGGAGUACUUUUCAAUACUUACUCCCCGCCGCCCGGGUUCUGUUUCGACGUGCUCUGUGACGACGAGCCUAUUAUAGACGACCCUGCCUCGCCCAUGUUCAAUGUUGACGAUCGAGUACACGAUUUUUUGGAAAUAUGCAGAAACAUUUCCAAAAAUUACGUCACGAAAAACAUUUUGAUAACAAUGGGUGAAGACUUUUUCUACCAAAAUGCUGCUAUGUCUUUCAAAAAUUUAGACAAACUUAUUGAAUACGCAAACCUGAAGUCGGCGAAAGAUGGUUUUAACAUAAAGCUGUUUUAUUCAACACCUGAUUGUUACUUGAAAGCUGUUAGAGACGCAAACCCAACACUUCCCACAAAACAAGACGAUUUCUUUCCAUACGCAAGCGAUCCCACAGCUUACUGGACGGGUUACUUUACCUCGAGACCUACAACUAAAUACUUUGAGCGGCAAGGAAAUGAUUAUUUACAGAUGGUGAAACAUCUUCAAGUGUUAGGAGGUUUAGAGGAACACAACAAAUUUGUAUUGAACGAACUUAAAAGUGCAAUGGGUGUAAUGCAGCACCACGACGCUAUAACCGGCACUGAAAAACAACACGUCGCCCGCGACUAUGAGAGGUUGCUCGACGCGGCCAUCGAGGACGCCAUACUCAUUGCCAGGCAGGCCUUCAACAAAAUCGCUCAGGGCGACAGCUUGAAAUUACCGCUUUUCGCUUACGAGCGCUGCAAGCUGAACGAGUCCAGCUGCCCCGUCGCCGAGACCAGCAAGCAGUUUGUGGUAACGAUCUACAAUCCUUUGGCGUGGGACACCAAAGAACCCAUCAGGAUCCCCGUCAAAGAUGGGGCAUACGAAGUAUACGCACCUAAUGGUGAUAAAAUAGACUCGCAGUUAGUAGAUAUACCUGAACCAGUAAGAAAUAUACCGACAAGAAAAUCCGAGGCAACCCAUGAGUUAGUGUUUAUAGCAAAACUCCACGCUAUGGGCGUCAAAUCAUUUUUCAUAAAGAAAGUAAACCAAAAAUUCAAAAGGGACACUCAAAAUAACGAAAGAAAAAAUGAUUACUACAAUAUUAAUGAUUACUGGAAAAAUAUUCGCGAUAAAACUUAUAUUGAUAUACAGAACAUUGAUGACGUUGAUAUAAAAGACAGCUAUUUCCCUGUUAGAGACGCUCCAGUAUUACCGGAAAAAUAUUCGAGGAAUAUUCAAGACAAUAUUCCAAUAUUGGUGAAUUACCGUAACAAUAUGGACAAUAAAGUCAAUAUUGUCCAAGGAAUUGAUAUUGAUUUGCUAAAGGAUAAGGAAUCACCAGAUUACGGGGUAGGGGAAUUGGAAAAAAUUAUUAAGGAGGUAUAUUUUGGGAAAAGUGGAGGGGAGGCGAGGAGUUUGGAUAAGAAGUGGACUUAUCCGACUUUGAAUGAGGAGGAAAUGAGGAUGCUGUCCGAUGAACCACAGGUCGUGGAGCGAUCUGACGAGUUUUAUUUGGAGAAUGAGUUCAUGAAACUUCGCAUAGACAACGAGACCGGUCAAAUCACGCACAUGAUUCUACCCGACCGUACUGUUAACUUGAGAAUACAGCUAUACUACUGGACGGGGUGCUAUGGCGACAACACGAAUACAUCCCAAAGAUCCUCAGGGGCUUACAUAUUCAGACCCAAAACCACGAAACCGUACGAAAUUACAUACAAAAAUAAUGGCACAAUAGACGGAAAAGUUGUAUACGAAGUCAGAGCCAUAUCGGACCAAAACGCUUUUAGUACCUUACGACUUUACAAAGGACUUAACUUUUUGGAACACGAUUUUGUUGUUGGACCUAUAGAUGUAACGGAUAAUGUUGGCAAAGAAUAUAUAGUAAGAUACGAAAGUAAUUUAAAUAAUAAUGGCGUGUUUUACACAGAUUCAAACGGUAGACAGAUGUUGAAACGUGUCAUAAACAAAAGAUAUGAUUAUAAUUUAACCCUACAAGAACCGGUCGCGGGGAAUUAUUAUCCAGUUACUAAUGAAAUUUCGAUUGAAGAUAACAAUGAUAGAAUAUCCAUUUUAACUGAUAGGUCAGUUGGUGGUACGUCAUUAAAUAUAGGUGAUAUAGAAGUUAUGGUACAUAGACGAUUGUUACAUGAUGACGCUUUUGGUGUCGGUGAAGCUUUGAAUGAAACAGUCAAUGGCGUAGGUUUAAUAGUGAGAGGUGCGCAUAGAAUACUUUUUGUCAACCCCAACAAACCAGAUGAAACACUAAACGAAAGGAAACAAGUCAUACAAAAUCAUUUAAAACCAAUCAUAUUCGUAUCCAAUUCUGAACAUGUCACUUAUGAAAAUUGGAUUAAAUUAAACAAUUGUUAUAAAGGAAUUAAACCUUUGCCACCAGGUGUUCAUUUAUUGACACUAGAACCAUGGGACAGUAAUAAGUUUUUGAUUAGAUUCGAAAAUGUUAUGGAGAAAUCAGAUACGUCCACUGUAGAAUUGGAUUUGACGGAUAUGUUUGGUAAUUUGAAAAUUAAAUCGAUUAAAGAAACAACUUUGGCAGCGAAUAGAUGGUUGAAAGAUACAGAAAAGUGGUCUUGGAAAACUGACAGUGAAUUUUCUGAUAGCUUUAAUAAUGCUUAUGGUGAUUCGAUAGCUAGGGGUGAUAAAAACGUUAAAGAUGAUGAAAGUUUACUUGAUGAUGGAAUUAACGGCCAAAAUGAUGAUGGAUUCAAGAUUAAAAUAAAAGCGAAACAAAUCAGAACUUUUAUAGCUGAAUAUGAGUAUAGCUUAUUGAAAUAAUUAAAUUGUUAGUGAAUUUAAAAAAAGAAGAUUUUUGUCUAUGAGCAAAUUAAAUUAAAGGCCAAAUUAAUAAUGGAUUGAAGAUUAAAAUGAAAGCGAAACAAAUUAGAACUAUUAUAGCUGAAUAUGGCUAUAUUUAUUGAAAUAAUUAAAUUGUUAGUGAAUUUAAAAAAAGAAGAUUUUCGUCUAUGAGCAAAUUAAAUUAAAGGCCAAAAUGAUAAUGGAUUGAAGAUUAAAAUGAAAGCGAAACAAAUUAGAACUUUUAUAGCUGAAUAUGACUAUAUUUACUGAAAUAAUUAAAUUGUUAGUGAAUUUAAAAAAGAAGAUUUUUGUCUAUGAGCAAAUUAAAUUAAAGGCCAAAAUGAUAAUGGAUUCAAGAUUAAAAUAAAAGCGAAACAAAUCAGAACUUUUAUAGCUGAAUAUGACUAUAGUAUAUUGAAAUAAUUAAUUUAAAAAAAGAAUGUGAUUUUGUCUAUGAGAAAAUUAAAUUAAAGGCCAAAAUAAUCAUGGAUUGAAGAUUAAAAUGAAAGCGAAACAAAUCAGAACUUUUACAGCUGAAUAUGACUAUAGUUUAUUGAAAUAAUUAAAUUGUUAGUGAAUUUAAAAAAGAAGAUUUUUGUCUAUGAGCAAAUUAAAUUAAAGGCCAAAUUAAUAAUGGAUUGAAGAUUAAAAUGAAAGCGAAACAAAUCAGAACUUUUAUAGCUGAAUAUGAGUAUAGUUUAUUGAAAUAAUUAAGUUGUUAAUGAUUUCAAAAAAAAAAAUGUGAUUUUUGUCUAUGAGCAAAUUA